GAUGAACGCUAGCGGCAGGCCUAAUACAUGCAAGUCGGACGGGAUCCAUUGAUAGCUUGCUAUCAAUGGUGAGAGUGGCGCACGGGUGCGUAACGCGUGAGCAACCUGCCUCCAUCAGGGGGAUAGCCUCUCGAAAGAGAGAUUAACACCGCAUAAUAUCAACAGUUCGCAUGUUCAGUUGAUUAAAUAUUUAUAGGAUGGAGAUGGGCUCGCGUGACAUUAGCUAGUUGGUAGGGUAACGGCUUACCAAGGCGACGAUGUCUAGGGGCUCUGAGAGGAGAAUCCCCCACACUGGUAGUGAGACACGGACCAGACUCCUACGGGAGGCAGCAGUAAGGAAUAUUGGUCAAUGGGCGGAAGCCUGAACCAGCCAUGCCGCGUGCAGGAUGACUGCCCUAUGGGUUGUAAACUGCUUUUGUCCAGGAAUAAACCUAAAUACGAGUAUUUAGCUGAAUGUACUGGAAGAAUAAGGAUCGGCUAACUCCGUG
rnacentral:rRNA from 1 species